GACGAACCGUGCAAACGUUGUUCGGAAUCACUGGGCUUAAAGGGCGCGUAGGUGGUGUGUCGCGUCGGAUGUGAAAGCCCGGGGCUUAACCCCGGGUCUGCAUUCGGUACGGGCAUGCUGGAGUUCGGUAGGGGAGACUGGAAUUCCUGGUGUAGCGGUGAAAUGCGCAGAUAUCAGGAGGAACACCGGUGGCGAAGGCGGGUCUCUGGGCCGAUACUGACACUGAGGAGCGAAAGCGUGGGGAGCGAACAGG
rnacentral:rRNA from 1 species